CCCAGACUCCUACGGGAGGCAGCAGUGGGGAAUAUUGGGCAAUGGGCGCAAGCCUGACCCAGCAACGCCGCGUGAAGGAAGAAGGCUUUCGGGUUGUAAACUUCUUUUAAGAGGGAAGAGCAGAAGACGGUACCUCUUGAAUAAGCCACGGCUAACUACGUGCCAGCAGCCGCGGUAAUACGUAGGUGGCAAGCGUUGUCCGGAUUUACUGGGUGUAAAGGGCGUGUAGCCGGGCUGACAAGUCAGAUGUGAAAUUCCGGGGCUAAACCCCGGACCUGCAUUUGAAACUGUUGGUCUUGAGUACCGGAGAGGCAGGCGGAAUUCCUAGUGUAGCGGUGAAAUGCGUAGAUAUUAGGAGGAACACCAGUGGCGAAGGCGGCCUGCUGGACGUCAACUGCCGGUGAGGCGCGAAAGCGUGGGGGGCAACCAGGAUUAGAUCCC
rnacentral:rRNA from 1 species